rnacentral:rRNA from 1 species
UCGAGGACGAACGCUGGCGGCGUGCCUAACACAUGCAAGUCGAGCGAUGAAAUCCUUCGGGAUGGAUUAGCGGCGGACGGGUGAGUAACACGUGGGUAACCUGCCUUGUAGAGGGGGAUAGCCUUCCGAAAGGAAGAUUAAUACCGCAUAACAUCUUUUUAUCGCAUGGUAGAAAGAUCAAAGGAGUAAUCCGCUACAAGAUGGACCCGCGGCGCAUUAGCUAGUUGGUGAGGUAACGGCUCACCAAGGCGACGAUGCGUAGCCGACCUGAGAGGGUGAUCGGCCACAUUGGAACUGAGACACGGUCCAGACUCCUACGGGAGGCAGCAGUGGGGAAUAUUGCGCAAUGGGGGGAAACCCUGACGCAGCAACGCCGCGUGAAUGAAGAAGGCCUUAGGGUUGUAAAGUUCUGUUUACGGGGACGAUAAUGACGGUACCCGUGGAGGAAGCCACGGCUAACUACGUGCCAGCCGCCGC